UCCUCCGUGGCGCAAUUGGCUAGCGCGUCUGACUGUUAUUCCGCUCUUGGCAAUCAGGAGGUUGAAAGUUCGAGCCUUUCCGGGGGAG